rnacentral:rRNA from 1 species
GAUGAACGCUGGCGGCGUGCCUAAUACAUGCAAGUCGAGCGAAUGGAUUAAGAGCUUGCUCUUAUGAAGUUAGCGGCGGACGGGUGAGUAACACGUGGGUAACCUGCCCAUUAGACUGGGAUAACUCCGGGAAACCGGGGCUAAUACCGGAUAACAUUUUGAACCGCAUGGUUCGAAAUGGAAAGGCGGCUUCGGCUGUCCCUUAUGGAUGGACCCGCGUCGCAUUAGCUAGUUGGUGAGGUAACGGCUCACCAAGGCAACGAUGCGUAGCCGACCUGAGAGGGUGAUCGGCCACACUGGGACUGAGACACGGCCCAGACUCCUACGGGAGGCAGCAGUAGGGAAUCUUCCGCAAUGGACGAAAGUCUGACGGAGCAACGCCGCGUGAGUGAUGAAGGCUUUCGGGUCGUAAAACUCUGUUGUUAGGGAAGAACAAGUGCUAGUUGAAUAAGCUGGCACCUUGACGGUACCUAACCAGAAAGCCACGGCUAACUACGUGCCAGCAGCCGCAGUAA